UGGGGAAUUUUGGACAAUGGGCGAAAGCCUGAUCCAGCAAUGCCGCGUGUGUGAAGAAGGCCUUCGGGUUGUAAAGCACUUUUGUCCGGAAAGAAAUCCUUGGCUCUAAUACAGUCGGGGGAUGACGGUACCGGAAGAAUAAGCACCGGCUAACUACGUGCCAGCAGCCGCGGUAAUACGUAGGGUGCAAGCGUUAAUCGGAAUUACUGGGCGUAAAGCGUGCGCAGGCGGUUUGCUAAGACCGAUGUGAAAUCCCCGGGCUCAACCUGGGAACUGCAUUGGUGACUGGCAGGCUAGAGUAUGGCAGAGGGGGGUUAGAAUUCCACGUGUAGCAGUGAAAUGCGUAGAGAUGUGGAGGAAUACCGAUGGCGAAGGCAGCCCCCUGGGCCAAUACUGACGCUCAUGCACGAAAGCGUGGGGAGCAAACAGGAUUAGAUACCCUGGUAGUCCACGCCCUAAACGAUGUCAACUAGUUGUUGGGGAUUCAUUUCCUUAGUAACGUAGCUAACGCGUGAAGUUGACCGCCUGGGGAGUACGGUCGCAAGAUUAAAACUCAAA
rnacentral:rRNA from 1 species